ensembl:lncRNA WARS2-IT1 WARS2 intronic transcript 1
GAUACGCAAAAAGCUACCACUAUGUCUCCACGAAGCUGAGUAUUUUCCUUGGAGUAGCUUUUUAUUUGGACAUAUGGAAUGAAACUUACUUAAUAUUCUGCAGAGAUCUUCCUGGUGUUUCCAAAAUGUCUCAGGUAUGUCUUUAUCAGCAUCAUGAAAACAGACUAAUACAGUAAGUUGAUACCAGUACAGUGGGGCAUUGCCGAAAAGAUACCUGAAAAUGUGGAAGUGACUUUGGAACUGGGUAACAGGCAGAGAUUGGAACAGUUUGGAGGGCUCAGAAGAAGAUAGGAAGAUAAGGGAGAGUUUGAAACUUCCUAGAGACUUGUUGAAUGGCUUUGCUCAAAAUGCUGAUAGUGAUAUGGACAAUAAUGUACAGACUGAGGUGGUCUCAGAUGGAGAUGAGGAACUUGUUGGGACCUGGAGCAAAGGUGACUUGUUAUGUUUUAGCAAAGAGACUGGCAGCAUUUUGCCCCUGCCCUAGAGAUUUGUGGAACUUUGAACUUGAGAAAGAUGAUUUAGGGUAUCUGGCAGAAGAAAUUUCUAAGCAGCAAAGCAUUCAAAAGGUGACUUAGAUACUGUUAAAGGCAUUCAGUUUUAUAAGGGAAGCAGAGCUAAAAGUUUGGAAAAUUUGCAGCCUGACUAUGCAAAACCAAUUUUCUGGGGAGAAAAGAGAAACCAAUUUUCUGGGGAGAAAUUCAAGCCCGCUGCAGAAAUUUGCAUAAGUAGCAAGGAGCCUAAUGUUAAUCCUCAAGACCAUGGGGAAAAUGUCUCCAGGCCAUGUCAGAGACCUUCACAGCAGCCCCUCCCAUCACAGGUCCAGAGGCCCAGGAGGAAAAAGUGGUUUUGUGGGCCAGGCUCAGGGUACUGGUGCUGUGUGCAGCCUAGGGACUUGGCGCACUGUGUCCUAGCCACUCCAGCUGUGGCUGAAAGGGGCCAAGACAGAGCUCGGGCAGUGGCUUUAGAGGGUGGAAGCCCCAAGCCUUGGCAGCUUCCAUGUGGUGUUGAGCCUGCAGGUGCACAGAAGUCAAGAACUGAGGUUUGGGAACCUCCGCCUAGAUUUCAGAAAAUGUAUGGAAAUGCCUUGGAUGCCCAGACAAAAGUUUGCUGCAGGAGCGAGGCCCUUAUGGAGAACCUCUGCUAGGGUAGUGUGGAAAGGAAAUGUGGGGUUGGAGCCCCCACACAGUGUACCUACUGGGGCACUGCCUAGUGGAGCUGUGAGAAGAGGCCACCAUCCUCCAGAUCCCAGAAUGGUAGACCCACCGACAGCUUGCACCGUGAGCCUGGAAAAGCCACAGACACUUAAUGCCGGCCUGUGAAAGCAGCCAGGAGGGAGGCUGUACCCUGCAAAGCCACAGGAGUGGAGCUGCUCAAGACCAUGGGAAUCCACCUCUUGCAUCAGCGUGACCUGAGUGUGAGACCUGGAGUCAAAGGAGAUCAUUUUGGAGCUUUAAGAUUUGACUGCCCCACUGAUCUUGGACUUGUAUGAGCCCUGUAACCCCUUUGCUUUGACCAAUUUCUCCCAUUUGGAAUGGCUGUAUUUACCCAGUACCUGUACCUCCAUUGUAUCUGGGAAGUAACUAGUUUGCUUUUGAUUUUACAGGCUCAUAGGCAGAAGGUACUUGCCUUGUCUCAGACGAGACUUUGGACUGUGGAUUUUGGGUUAAUGCUGAAAUGAGUUAAGACUUUGGGGGACUGUUGGGAUGGCAUGAUUGGUUUUGAAAUGUAAGGACAUGAGAUUUGGAGGGGCCAGGGGCAGAAUGAUAUGGUUUGGCUAUGUCCCCACAUAAUCUCAACUUCAAUUAUAUCUCCCAGAAUUCCCACAUGUUGUGGGAGGGACCCAGUGGGAGGUAAUUGAAUCAUGGGGGCCGGUCUUUCCCAUGCUAUUGAUAGUGAAUAAGUCUCACCAGAUCUGAUAGGUUUAUCAGGGGUUUCCACUUUUGCUUCUUCCUCAUUUUUCUCUUGCCGCUGGUGUGUAAGAAGUGCCUUUAACCUCCCGCCGUGAUUCUGAGGCCUCCCCAUGUAAAACUCUAAGUCCAAUUAAAACUCUUUUUCUUCCC